CGCUGGCGGCGUGCCUAAUACAUGCAAGUCGAGCGAAUGACAAGGAGCUUGCUCCUUGAUUAGCGGCGGACGGGUGAGUAACACGUGGGUAACCUACCCUAUAGACUGGGAUAACUUCGGGAAACCGGAGCUAAUACUGGAUAAUACUUCGAAACACAUGUUUUGAAGUUGAAAGAUGGUUUCGGCUAUCACUAUAGGAUGGACCCGCGGCGCAUUAGCUAGUUGGUGGGGUAAUGGCUCACCAAGGCAACGAUGCGUAGCCGACCUGAGAGGGUGAUCGGCCACACUGGGACUGAGACACGGCCCAGACUCCUACGGGAGGCAGCAGUAGGGAAUCUUCCACAAUGGACGGAAGUCUGAUGGAGCAACGCCGCGUGAGUGAAGAAGGAUUUCGGUUCGUAAAACUCUGUUGCAAGGGAAGAACAAGUAGCGUAGUAACUGGCGCUACCUUGACGGUACCUUGUUAGAAAGCCACGGCUAACUACGUGCCAGCCGCAGC
rnacentral:rRNA from 1 species